UUAGCUGGUUGGUGAGGUAACGGCUCACCAAGGCGAUGAUGCAUAGCCGACCUGAGAGGGUGAACGGCCACAUUGGGACUGAGACACGGCCCAAACUCCUACGGGAGGCAGCAGUAGGGAAUUUUCGUCAAUGGGGGGAACCCUGAACGAGCAAUGCCGCGUGUGUGAGGAAGGUCUUCGGAUCGUAAAGCACUGUUGUAAGAGAGGAACGGUAUCCAGAGGGAAUGCUGGGUAAGUGACAGUAUCUUACCAGAAAGCCACGGCUAACUAC
rnacentral:rRNA from 1 species